CUCAUCAGAUUAUAACUAGAUUGUUGUGACUGAUUCUAAAGCAGCACAUUUUCUGAAAGAUAUUGACAGGUUUGAGUAUGUCCAAAAAUCAGAGACCAGGGUGAAAAGGAGCCUUUCAAUCCUGCUAUAUAAGGAUGGAUGUUUAACUAAGCAAAAUGAAGAUCCAGGUGAGAUACCACCUCUGUCUUCAUUGAUCUGAAGGACUAACCUGUGGAAAUGGGAAUGGGAUUAUUCCCAAAGAUCAGAAAAAUGACACACUUUUGGAAGUUAUGGUCUGGAUUAUCCAUCAACUGCACAAAAUUGAGUAAUCGCCACAAUAGCUGUGGGGAAGCUGGCUUUCUUCCCCUCUAGCAAGUGGAGCCACCAGCCUGGUUCUGAGGUCCCUGGAUCAGAAUCAAAGCAUUUCAUCUUGCGUCUACCUUUAGAAGCUGUCAGACUGGCAGGAACAUUUGUCAUCCUAUUGAAGGAAGGAAACACCUUCAACCCCCAUGGGUAUUGUCAAAGACACAAUCAGACCAUGCGGAAGAGAGGAGUAAGAAUGAAAAGAUGAAAAG